UUUUAUACGUUAUUCGGAAAACAUCAGCAAAUCUCAAUAACGCCAGUCAUUGACCGACCAAAUGAUCGGAAUUUCUUCUUAUAAGUAAAUCAAUUAAAAAUCCAACUGUUUAGUGGUCAGUCGUAAAAAUGAGUCAUAUGAUCACAUAUAAAAAGACAUUUAUCAUUUGAUAGCUUUAAUCAAAAACACUAUAGUAGUUGUAGCUAAACGGUCAAAGGAAUAAAUUAUAUUUUACAAGAACGACGGAGAUUUACAAAUCAUUUAUUAUAAAAUGUUUACAAAUAAUUUUAUAUUAAUACUGGUAACAUUAAUAUUGGUUUUGUAUCAAAUAGUGCAUUCAAUUGUCGGUGUAAAACUCAUAGAACCUGUUAUUAAAUAUAUACCACCAAAUUGUGAAAAUUUAGAUCAUAAUGGAAAAUGUGUAUUAGAAGCUACGAAACAGCAUUUUGAUAUCACUAGUCUAAAUCCGUAUAGGGGGUAAAAACUAGGUGAGCUGAGUUAUCAUCAACAAUUUUAAAGUAUUCUAAAAAUAAAGUUACGAUAUAGAAGAACUAUCACGAUUAAAUAAUUUUAUUUUAAUUUUAUUUAAACAUGUGUAAAUAAAGCAAUUGCAUUAUUGUUUCAAGGCAGAACAUUUUAAAAUUUAUACAACAAUUUAAAAUAAAAAAACUUGAUUGACAUUUA